UGCCCCUUCUCUCCACCUGCCCCUCCCUGCUUGCUCUGUGCCACCCGGCUGAGCCCUGACGGCCUGUGUCUGUUCCAGACCUCCCGCGAGAUGGUUGCCCGCUCGGCCGCGACGCUCGUCACCCACCCCUUGCACGUGAUCACGCUGAGAUGCAUGGUGCAGUUCAUCGGCAGGGAGACC